rnacentral:ncRNA from 1 species
GCUGAAAAGGGCAAACCCGUCGCGAGGCGGGGGCGCAAAGCCAUGGACCUCCACCCGGAGGCCGCCAGGCUGCCAGCA